ACAAUAUAGUGAUUCAGGUAUUCUAUGUAUUACUCAGUGCUCUUAACUUUUUAAACAUAUGGAAUAUAGUUAUAAUAACUGUUUUACUGUCCUUAUCUGCUAUUUUUAACUUCUGUGUCAGUCUGGGCUAUUCUCAAUUGAUUCAUUUAUCAUCCCAUUAUGAGUUGAAUUUUCCCGCUUAUUUGCAUGCCUGCUAAGUUUUGAUUGAAUGUAUGAUAAUGGAUGCUACCUUAUCGAAUGAUGGAUAUUACUGUGAUGCUAAAAUUAUUCUUGUGCUUUUUCUACUAUGCAAUUAAAUUACUUGGAAACACUUUGAUUCUUUGGGUCUUCCAUUUAGGAUUUAGUAUAACUGGAGCUGUAGAUGGAGCAGUAGAUGGCUAAUUAUUCUCCAUGACCAAGAAAUGAUCCUUCUGAGUACUCUACCUAACAUCCCAUAAAUCCUGAGGUUUUCCAGCCUGGCUGUUGGCAACAGUCUUUUUUCUUAUUAAUUUCAAGCAAACUGAGAACCUUGAGCUUCAAUUUCCUGUUCAGCCCUGAGAUUCAAAGGUAGCUUUGAGCUGAGACUAUUCAUCCAUGGAUCCUCCACGUAACGUUACCCCACCUUUUAAUUCUGAUUCAUUGCUGAUUCCACCAAAAGAAAUGUCCCAGAAACUUACAUCAACUUCCCAAUCAUCUUUCUCCAAAGUGCAAAACCUGGAUCGUAUUAACGUUAGCCCCAGUUUUAAUAGCAACUACCUCACCCCUCUACCAGAGGAAACGAUCCAACAGCAAUACAGAGAUGAGAUGAGCCAACAUGAGAGGCAGUGGGAGAAGUCAGCGUUCCCUCAGAGGAAAAAGACAUUCAUGGAGAACAUGAGACAGAAAAGUUACUAUCACAUGGCACCUUAUCGGGUUGAAAGGGAAGGAAAGAUCUAUUUCUCACAUGAUAGAGAUCAGAAUAAGUGUAAAUGCCAUUAUUGCCUCAUUCAAAGGGAAGCUAUUUCCGGGAACUCUAAAGGGCAAAAUGCAUCCUCUUGGAAAAUGCUAGUAGAAGGCUUUAGCCACUUGAACAUCAACUCUGAUACCACAGAGUCCCGCUGUCCAUCAGAAAAGCUUCCACAGGAGUAGAAAAGAAAGAAGAGCCAUCAAGAGAGGGAGAAGAAAAUCAAACAGUUCUUCAGAGGCCCUGAAAACAAUAAUUGAAAUAAACCGAAACUCAUCCUCAUGUGAUGAGAUCAGAAUUAA